ACUCCAAUAGCUCAGUUGGUAGAGCAUGAGACUAUUAAUCUCAGGGUCAUGGGUUUGAGCCCCAUGUUGGGCA